GAACCAUAACAUGAGUCAAUUUUUUCUGAACAGAGGAUGGAUCAUACCACAUCAUUGAGGAACCGAUAGCAUGUUACCUCAAUACCUAGAGAUGUUGGUGCCCCAUUUACGGGUGCUUCAUGUAGCACUGAGGUGGGUAGUUCUUCACGUGACCCAUGGACCACUGAGGCUCAGCCUCAUAUACCACAAGCUUCUAGAUUGUUUGAUGGCGCAUCACAUGUACGCCUUCGACCAUCAGUUACUUUGUCUACAUCACAUGU